rnacentral:rRNA from 1 species
UUGGAGGGCAAGUCUGGUGCCAGCAGCCGCGGUAAUUCCAGCUGCAAUAGCGUAUAUUAAAGUUGUUGCAGUUAAAAAGCUCGUAGUUGAACCUCGGGGUCUACCCAUUGGUCAGGCUUAAUUGUCUGCACUGGUGAGAUGGAUCUCUACCUUCUGAGGAACUUUCAUGCCAUUUAUUUGGUGUGAUGGGAAAUCAGGACUGUUACUUUGAAAAAAUUAGAGUGUUUAAAGCAGACUAUCGUCUGAAUACAUUAGCAUGGAAUAAUGAAAUAGGACGGACUGAUUCUAUUUCGUUGGUUUCUAGGAUCACCGUAAUGAUUAAUAGGGAUAGUUGGGGGCAUUAGUAUUCAAUUGUCAGAGGUGAAAUUCUUGGAUUUAUUGAAGACUAACUACUGCGAAAGCAUUUGCCAAGGAUGUUUUCAUUAAUCAAGGACGAAAGUUAGGGGAUCGAAGACGAUCAGAUACCGUCGUAGUCUUAACCAUAAACUAUGCCGACUAGGGAUCGGACGAAGUUAGUUUUAUAAUGACGCGUUCGGCACCUUACGGGAAACCAAAGUGUUUGGGUUC